UUCCAAAGCUUUUAAUAAAAUACAUAUCAUUUUGCUUUCUUUUUAAUGUCUUACCGUAAUGACGGUCGUACAACUGAAAGUGCUACUAUAAAUUAACUAAAUUAUUAUUUAUUUAGAAACAGUUUUAAAGCAAGAUAAGGAAGGACCUGCAGUUCUUCUUUUUUAACGUAUAAUUUAAGUUCUAAAGUUAUACUCGAAAGUGGGAUCAAAACCAAAAAUGCUAUUCAAAUUAACCGGAUGCUUAAAAACAUCCGUGAAAAGUUUUAGAAAUUCCCGCCUAAUACCGGCUAACAACUUCUAAAACUCAAGUCAGCUGUCCCACUUUAGCACGUGACAGGGAUACUAGUGACGUCAGUGAUCUUUACCAAACAUACGGGACUUCCUAAUGGGUAUCGAAGUCGUCUGCACUGUCAAAAUGUGACCGUUUGAGAUGAUUUUUGAACUAUUUAUGAAUAUUUCUGAAUAAAUGCUUGAAUUAUGUGAUUUUAGGGAUAGUAAAUGGAUAUUUUGCGACGUAUUCUAGAGCUGUCAAGCUGAAAUAAGCAUAAAAAUUCAUAUUUUCUUUCGCUUUAAGCCUAAAAGGAAAGCGGUUUAUCAGUUCUGCCCACUUAUGUUUAUUCCGUCGCUCAACCAACUGUUGUGUUAACUAGUGAAAAAAGGAUUUUUCGUUAUUCUCAAAGUGGUAUGUUGCCAACGUUUAAUUCUAAAACUAUGAAAAUAUGCAUUGAUACUUUGAUAGUAAAUGUGCAAAAAAACAAAUGUGUGUGUUCUGUGUUGGAAAAAUCGUUACAUCAGUAUUAAAUAUUGGAAGUAUCUUCACUUGGAAUAUUUAAUUUUUCGUCCUGUUGAAAGUUUUUAAAAUCUAAACAAGUGUAGAGGGAAGAAGAUUGUUUCAAGAAAUAAGUGAUGGUGGUUGUGGAUUUAUUGGCGCAUAAUCUGAAAGGUUAUGAUGGGCCAGUUCAAGAAAUAAGACAAAUAAUCACUAAACAUGGAAUACUAAACUCUUGCCGAAAGAGCCAGAAACUCAGAAAUGUGGGUGUUAGUGCCGCUACGAGUUAAUUUUGGUAACUCACAUCCACUGAAAUUUCAGCAAACGCUUAGUGAACGCUUCUGUUGGGUAUCGCCAGGUCUUAUCAAAGUUUUCAAUUAAAAUACUUAAGCGAUUUUAGUUUAAAAUUCGAAUGACAGAAAAUGGGCUAAAUUUGGAGACAUCGAAUGUGUUUAAUAGAUCCAUGGAUUCGAGAUCUGGAAUAUUCCAUACCUAUUAAUAAUAGAGACUUUAUGUACUAUUUGAACGUAAGAGUUUCGUAAGCGAUUCUUUUUCGAAUAUCCGAUAUUAUUUUCUAGUUCGUUUAACUUUCGUAUUUUUCAAGUUUCCCAGUUAGCUAGAAUUUCUGAUAAAAAUGUUUUACGUUUUCAUGUGUAUUCAAAAGCUGAUUUACUUACCGUAAAUAUUAAAGUUUAUGAAAUAACCAUAAAAGGUGUUGAUUUUAAUCACUGCCACAGCACGUGCCAAUUACGAAAAGCUAGGACUUUGCUUUCCAGUUAUGCUAUUGAUUCGUGAUCGAUGUUACUAAUUAAAAUUUAGUUUCAUAGCCAUAAUCGGUGCAUAGUGAGUAUGGGUUUGUUUGAAUUAAACCAAAUUAAAAUUAAAAGUUUAUAUUUAAUUGACCAUGGCAAGGCACACAAAGGGUAUAUGUGCAAGGGAGGGUUGCCUUCGUGAAUAGCUUUCUAAAGAAAACAGGCUUACAUUCACAUUAUACAGAGAGAAAAAUCCAGAAAACAAGCAUGCAGGCAUCCUCUUCGCCUUGAUUCUAGCCCGGGUGGAACUGCCUGUCUGCCGGGUAUAUCUUAUACUGCCGGAUUGUAUUGUAUGUAUUGCGGGAUCGAAUAGCUUGUAUUAUCUGCUCCAACAACAGUAGAGUCGAAAUUAAUGGGAUCCUAAUUAAACAGGACUUAUUACAUAUCUAGUAAAAUGAAAUUUUAAUUUGGAAUUACUUAUUUGCAGUAUGUAUGUGUAUUUGGUAGUUAAUUUCUGAGUGUGAAGUCUUGACGAUUCUGUACACAAUCUGAAAUACAGGCUGUUAGAAACGCCUCUAUGAUCAUAUAAUAAAAUACCAUAAAAUUAUCUGUUAGAUAUUAAUAAAUUACUCCGAAUUUAA
rnacentral:lncRNA from 1 species